AGUGUUGUUGGGUAGGGGAGCGUUCUGUAAGCCUGCGAAGGUGUACUGUGAGGUAUGCUGGAGGUAUCAGAAGUGCGAAUGCUGACAUAAGUAACGAUAAUGCGGGUGAAAAACCCGCACGCCGGAAGACCAAGGGUUCCUGUCCAACGUUAAUCGGGGCAGGGUGAGUCGACCCCUAAGGCGAGGCUGAAAAGCGUAGUCGAUGGGAAACGGGUUAAUAUUCCCGUACUGGUGGUAACUGCGAUGGGGGAACGGAGAAGGCUAGGUUGUCCGGGCGACGGUCGUCCCGGUUCAAGCAGGUAGGCAGAGUGAUUAGGCAAAUCCGGUCACUUAAUGCUGAGAUGUGAUGACGAACCACCAAGGUGGUGAAGCAAUUGAUGCCCCGCUUCCAGGAAAAGCCUCUAAGCUUCAGGUUACCAACAAUCGUACCCCAAACCGACACAGGUGGUCAGGUAGAGAAUACUCAGGCGCUUGAGAGAACUCGGGUGAAGGAACUAGGCAAAAUGGUGCCGUAACUUCGGGAGAAGGCACGCUGGCGGUAGGUAAAGUCCCUCGCGGACGGAGCUGAAGCCAGUCGAAGAUACCAGCUGGCUGCAACUGUUUAUUAAAAACACAGCACUGUGCAAACACGAAAGUGGACGUAUACGGUGUGACGCCUGCCCGGUGCUGGAAGGUUAAUUGAUGGGGU
rnacentral:rRNA from 1 species